UACGGAGGAUGCAAGCGUUAUCCGGAAUGAUUGGGCGUAAAGCGUCCGCAGGUGGCAAUGUAAGUCUGCUGUCAAAGCGUCUGGCUCAACCAGAUAAAGGCAGUGGAAACUACAUAGCUAGAGUAAGGUAGGGGUAGAGGGAAUUCCUGGUGUAGCGGUGAAAUGCGUAGAGAUCAGGAAGAACACCGGUGGCGAAAGCGCUCUGCUGGACCUUAACUGACACUGAGGGACGAAAGCUGGGGGAGCGAAUGGG
rnacentral:rRNA from 1 species